UCGCAAGGCUGAAACUCAAAGGAAUUGACGGGGGCCCGCACAAGCGGUGGAGCAUGUGGUUUAAUUCGAUGCAACGCGAAGAACCUUACCAAGGCUUGACAUACUACAGAUUUCUUUGAAAAAGGAAAGUGCCUUCGGGAAUGUAGAUACAGGUGGUGCAUGGCUGUCGUCAGCUCGUGUCGUGAGAUGUUGGGUUAAGUCCCGCAACGAGCGCAACCCUUAUUUUUAGUUGCUAAUUUAGUUUAGGUUUUCUAGAAAGACUGCCGGUGACAAACCGGAGGAAGGUGAGGAUGACGUCAAGUCAGCAUGCCCCUUAUGCCUUGGGCUACACACGUGCUACAAUGGUUAAGACAAAGAGUUGCGAGCUCGCGAGAGUCAGCUAAUCUCAUAAACUUAGCCUAAGUUCGGAUUGUAGGCUGCAACUCGCCUGCAUGAAGUCGGAAUCGCUAGUAAUCGCUGGUCAGCCAUACAGCGGUGAAUCCGUUCCCGGGCCUUGUACACACCGCCCGUCACACCAUGGGAGCUGGUCAUGCCCGAAACCGUUAGCUUAACCUUUAUGGAGAGCGGCGUCUAAGGUAGGGUUAGUGACUGGGGUG
rnacentral:rRNA from 1 species